AAUGCUGCACAAGCAGCAGCAAUGCAAGAAUUCCCGACAUCAAGGAGUGUUACGAACAGAAGCCAAGAAAGGACUGCAGGUUCCACGCCUUUCUGAUCAUAACUCCAGACAAUAAGCAAUACUGUGUGAAGCCAGAUGCUCAGUGGCUCAAACAUCUUAUCAAUGAGGGUCUGAACUGUCCUUCCAUCAUCCCGCCCAAACGCAGAUUUGAAGUCCUGAACAAAGUCGACAUGGAAUAAAAACAGCUGCCAGAAUCAUUUCUGAUCAUUUACUGCUUCCUGCUUUUACUGCAAUAUAAAGAUAGAUAAAUAUAGAUAACUGAACAUGUUUCAGGCACAGCUUUGCUUUUUUUGGAGGGAAAUAAUCCUGCAACCAAAAAUAAUAAAUCAUUUAGAAAGUGA